rnacentral:misc_RNA from 1 species
UAAAUACAUUAGUUAGUCCUCUCAAUCGAUUCUAGACAUAAUCUAAUAUAUUUACUAAUUUACAUCACAAAGGUGUCUUCAACUAAGCCCUCUCACCAAUGGAUAAAAAUUCUUUACUCUUGAAUUCUUUAUCCUUUCUCCAGCUGAAAGGCAUUAUGAUUUUGGAUCAUAAAUCCGAUACUUCAUUUGAUUGGUGCUUGAUUUCUUACUAUGGUGAUUUCUUGUAGCGGCAUUCAUAGGUAAAGACAG